rnacentral:sRNA from 1 species
AAGUAUUUUAAAAGCUUUGCUAGUUGUUAAAAACCCUUGUAAAUCAUUUUAAAACCUCUUAAAAUCUUUAUAAAGUCUUUAAAAACAUAUGUAAAUACUUUAAAACCCCUUUUUAAACCUUUGUAAAUCAUUUAAAAACCUUUUACAAUAGUUUUACAAGAUUUACAAUCGUUUUUUUAAGUAUAAGUAAGUGGCAUUAAAUGAUUUACAAGAGAUUUUAAAAGGUUAUAAAAGAGUAAAACAUGAUUUACAAUCGUUUUAAAAGCAUAAGUAAGUGACAUAAAAUCAUUUACAAGAGAUUUUAAAAGUGUUUGCAUGGUUUACAAUCGUUUUUAAAGCAUAAGUAAGUGGCAUUGAAUGAUUUACAAGGGAUUUUAAAAGAUUUUAAAAGAGGUUAACAUGAUUUACAGUCGUUUUUAAAGCAUAAGUAAGUGUCAAAGAAUGAUUUACAAGGAAUUUUAAAAAGGGUUUGCAUGGUUUACAAUCGUUUUUAAAAGAUAAGUAAGUGGUAUAGAAUGAUUUACAAGGAUUUUAAAAGCUUAUAAAAGGGUAAAACAUGAUUUACAAGAGUUUUUUAUGAGUUUUAAAAGGAUUUAAAACCUUUUAAAUCUCUUAUAAAGUCUUUACAAGCAUUUUUUAACUCUUAAA